rnacentral:rRNA from 1 species
CCUACGGGAGGCAGCAGUGAGGAAUAUUGGUCAAUGGCCGCAAGGCUGAACCAGCCAAGUCGCGUGAGGGAUGACGGUCCUAUGGAUUGUAAACCUCUUUGUCAGGGAGCAAAGGGCGCCACCUGUGGCGCUUUGCGAGUACCUGAAGAAAAAGCGUCGGCUAACUCCGUGCCAGCAGCCGCGGUAAUACGGAGGAUGCGAGCGUUAUCCGGAUUUAUUGGGUUUAAAGGGUGCGCAUGCGGAAUGUCAAGUCAUCGGUAAAAUUUCGGGGCUAAACCCCGUCGUGCAGUUGAAACUGGCGGUCUUGAGUGAGCGAGAAGUAUGCGGAAGUCGUGGUGUAGCGGUGAAAUGCAUAGAUAUCACGCAGAACUCCGAUUGCGAAGGCAGCAUACCGGCGCUCAACUGACGCUGAUGCACGAAAGCGUGGGUAUCGAACAGGAUUAGAUACCCGGGUAGUC